rnacentral:rRNA from 1 species
GACGAACGCUGGCGGCGUGCUUGACACAUGCAAGUCGAACGGAAAGGCCUGCUUUCCCUUGUGGAUUGCGGGUACUCGAGUGGCGAACGGGUGAGUAACACGUGAGUGAUCUGCCCCCAACUUGGGUAUAAGCCUGGGAAACUGGGUCUAAUUCCCGAUAGGACUGCAGGGUGGUGCCUGUGGUGGAAAACGAUUUUCUAGUGGUUGGGGAUGAGCUCGCGGCCUAUCAGCUUGUUGGUGGGGUAAUGGUCUACCAAGGCGGCGACGGGUAGCCGGCCUGGGGGGGUGGACGGCCACAGUGGGACUGAGAUACGGCCAAGACUCCUACGGGAGGCAGCAGUGGGGAAUAUUGCACAAUGGGCGGAAGCCUGAUGCAGCGACGCCGCGUGGGGGAUGACGGCCGUCGGGUUGUAAACUCCUUUCGACCGCGAGGAAGCCACCUGGUUGGAAGGGUGGUGACGGUAGUGGUAGAAGAAGCACCGGCUAACUACGUG